ACCUUGCCUUUGUUCCCGAUGGCCGUGUGCCAGGUGCACGGGAGCAGUCCCUAAAGGGCCUUUGUUCCUGGCUGCUACGUGCCACGGUGUGCAGGAAUGGUCACCAUCGUAUCUUUGCCUGGGGAAGCCGACCUGCGACCUACAGGAAUGACAUUUAAAUUAGAAGUUGGAAAAAAUUCCAGUUUCUUCUUAUGCUUGCUACACAUGGGAUGUCACAGAAUCACGGAACAAGCUGAGUUGGAAGGGACCCACAAGGAUCAUCAAGUCCAAGUCCUGGCCCUGCCCAGGACAACCCAAGAGUCACACCAUGUGCUUGAGAGAAUUGUCCAAAUGCUUCUUGAACUCAGCCAGGCUAGUGCUGUGACCACGUCCCUGUGGAGCCUGUGCCAGGGGUGCCCAACUACCCUCUGGGUGACAAACCUUUCCCUAAUAUCCUACCUAAAUCUCCUCUGGUACAACUUCAGGCCAUUUUCUUAAGUCCUGUCACUGAUGACAAUUACAUACCAUUUCAUAACAAAGCAGAAAAGUUACACUUCUUAAAGAAAUUGAUGCAGAAUAUUAAUGUUCACCUUGUUAGUAUUUCUGUGUCUUUUGUAAGGUUGUACAGCUCUGUAAGCAAUUAAAACUUUUUAAAAUAUUUAAGACUGUUUGAUUGAUGGAACUGUAACUUAGGUAGCCUUCAUUUCUUUGGGAAAGGUACUCUUUGCUAAUGGAACUGCAGGUAUUUCCUAGAGAUGUGAGUUACAUUGCAGGAAAGAAACCUUAAGGCUAUCAAGUCCAUGGUCUUUGUGCUGCAAUAUACAAAUGGACCAUAUAGACAAGUCUUUUUAUUCUUAUUUGCCUUAUUGAGGUAGCCAUGCACCAACAUACUAGAGAGAUACCCUUUCUGCUGUUUUAAACAUGCAAUAUUUACCUCUUUUUUUACCUUGUUGUUUUUCUUCAGGAUCAUGUUGAUAGCUCACAGUCAUCUGUGGCUGACUGACAUUGCGAAGUCCAUUUCUUCUGUCAUCUCCUGCCGGUGACUUUACAUGUCCUAGCAAGCUGUCAUUGGAAGCAGAUGAGCUGCUGUGGAUUCAGACCUGUGCAAACAUGUUGGUUGUUGCUAUGUGCAUGCCUCGUUCCAUCCAGCAUCAGAGCUCACUGGUCUUACACCACAAAUUAACUUUAUAUCUGCAACCUAGAGGAGCCCUAAAUGAGACACCAUGAAAUAUCAUCUUGCAUCAAAAAUGGCGAUGAGCCUUCCUUGAAGAGGUGGACAGGGUGUGCUUCACUUACUCCUGAGAAGUGCUGUACCAUAAGUGACAAUGUUUACCAGGGGAAACCAGCCACCCAGCACUGGCAGUGUCCCAAACUGUUCCUAUUCCAGCCAGCCACACGCCUUACUUGUCACUGACGGAUUCACGGUGUGUGUGCAGUGGAUGACUAGUGGUGGCUUUGUGUUGCCAGGGCACGAUGCCACAGAGCUGCAUUUCCCCUCCGCAUGGCCUCCAUUUGCCUUUUUCCGCAUGAUUAUCACCCAUCUGUUGCCCUCUGCCAUGUGUGGGAGGGCAGCAGAUGGGCCAGAAAACUGGAACACAGGAAAGCAAGUUCUUCUGAGAGGCAAGGAGAGAAAGCGUAAGGUCAGAAAAGAAAUCCUUAGACUAGCUCCAGGAAAAGGAGCACUCCAUAGAGGGUACUUGCCAUCGAUGGAAACCCAGAAAGAGAAAUUAGGCAAAAAGGACCCCGGUCAGAAGGCAACAACAAGGAUUUAAUGCUUUUGCUUCUCACCUACAGAACCAUCAGUUUAAUUCAUUUUGUUGACCUACCUAUAAGGACCAUAGUAUUUAUUUACCUACAUAAUACGUUAUUGCAAACCUGUGGUUGUUAGAUGUGUGAACAAUACAACUAUUUCCAGGCUCCAGCUGUGGCACUUUAGCUUAAAGGCUACAUGAUGAGAAUAAGAAACCAAGAUGAUCUCUACAGAGCCAUCACAGUGCCCUCAGCAUUUGCAGCCUCUCUAAUAGAUUGCUAACCAGUCCUCUCAGGUAGGAGCCAAAAUGAAUAUUUUCUGUGAGGUGUCACUACCAAACAUGCUGGAAUUGGAUGCAGAGCCUCCAGGCGUAAGAGGUGAAGAAAGACAUGAAGCAAAUGUUGGCAGUCAGCUGGGCACGGGCCCCAUUUCUGGUUUGGGGUCACUACAGUUUGUUGACACAAGCCAUUUUUAUGUUGUUGAAAAAUUUAU